GGUCUGGUGGUCUAGCGGUAUGAUUCUCGCUUAGGGUACACCCUAAUAGCAACAUAGGCUUCAAAAAUAUGCGAGAGGUCCCGGGUUCAAUCCCCGGCCAGACCC
rnacentral:tRNA from 1 species